rnacentral:rRNA from 1 species
CCCUUAGAUGUUCUGGGCCGCACGCGCGCUACACUGAUGCAUUCAACGAGUUUCUUCCUGGUCCGAGAGGAAUGGGUAACCUUUUGAAAGUGCAUCGUGAUAGGGAUAGACUAUUGCAAUUAUUGGUCAUCAACGAGGAAUUCCUAGUAGACGUAGUUCAUCAGACUGCAUCGAUUACGUCCCUGCCCUUUGUACACACCGCCCGUCGCUCCUACCGAUUGAAUGCUCAGGUGAGCCAUUCGGACUUUCAUCAUGCUGGUUUCCAGUUUUGAUGAAGGAAAGUCUUGCGAACCUUAUCAUUUAGAGGAAGGAGAAGUCGUAACA